CUGGUUUAACCGGUCCCCGCGUUUCUAGCCGGUAGAUUCAUACACCUGGCUGCUCAUUCUUCAAUCAAAUCCCUCACAUCCAUUUUCAAUGGGGUCUGUGUGAAACAGGGUAGAAUAGGAAGGAAUAGAUUCCUCCUCGGCGAGUUUACUUCUUUUCAAGCAAUUUUAAGAGCAAACCUGUGCACUGUUGUCCCGCAGAUCAUGUUGUGAGAGAUGAAUGAGAUCAUCCAAACCCAUGGGACCUUUAGGGUUUUGGGACACAUUGAUUAAUUCGAAACCGCUUCGAUUGGUGUCUUUCAGCUCUUCCCAUGCAAGCAUGUCUUUGAUGUUUUCUCUUUGCAUUUCACUCCCCCUGUCCAUGCGAUCACUUUAAGUUCCUGAGUCGAGGUUCUACAUUUCUACACCUUCCUCCUUUUCCCUUCGUGUUUGGCUUCGAGGAAAGGAAAGGAUCGUCCUCACUCCAGAAAUUUAAUUUUGAAAUCUGGAUGAGAGAUUGUUAUUGUUCACGACGAUUGCAGCUACUUCACAAUUCAAGGUGUGAAGAGUUGCAAGUACGAUUACUCAUAUGGAUUAAGAAAUAAUCCGUCGUUGAUCAUCAGAAUCCCUUUGUAUGAACAUGUUGAAUCUGGCAUGGUCAUCACCAGAGAAUGAGAUAAAGGGUUGCAAUGUAUGUUAACGAUCUUAAAUGCAAACCUUAAAGUGAAACACAACCAAUUUCGUCUUGUGAUGAGCUGUUAUCCUAAUUUUUUUGAUAAGAGUGUCAGGGAUUGUAUGAUGAUGGUUCGGUUAGAUCGCAUUUCACUCAAAUCUAAAACGAGAACUACACAGGUUGCCGCUACUGUUCACGCGCAUCAUACUUUGUUGGUUUAGUUUAACUGCGAUGGCUGUUUUCAGGUAGAUUUUUUUCACUCGCUGCAGAAUUAUUGAUCGCUGUCCAAGCACAGUUUUGAUAUUGUUUUUAUCCAAUGGAUCUUGAUAAGGAAGCCCUGCCUGCUUAUUUGUGGUCUCGGUCCAUCAAAUUUGAUGACAGGGCAAUAUGUUCAAGAUUUAUUUCUAGUCCACCACAGCUUACAAUCCUGAUAUCGCAAGUUUACGAGAAAUUCUGAUUUACUGUUGAUGGGAAGAGGCGGUUCGUGGAUUCCAACCUCCUCCCAAGUCUUGAGAGGCAAACCGAGUAUCUUCAUAACUUCAGGCUUGGACUGUUAGUGGGAAUCACAGCAAAUAUAAACACCAAUUUUAAGUCAGCAAUCCUCAACAAUUAAGAUUGUAUGUGCGUUUGAUCGGGCAUGGCUAUUGUCCUCAAAGCUUGAACAAAUAUCCUUGGUUAAACGAUUCUUCCACAGUCCAAAACAAAGCUUGCGGCGAUGCCUAAAGAUUUCAACUUCUCAUAGCCAUUUUACACAACAGGUACAAGUAUUCGCAUCUGCAGGAAGAUUUCCAUGUUGAGUGGACCGAAGCUGUCAUUGACGUCUCAGUAAGGUUUCAGUGAAGGCGUUAUCAGUUCCGAGAACCAUUAUCUGAUGCAACCGUAACCUAAAGCGAUGUGGACCUGGGAAGAAUGGACCUGAUGGUCUGCAGAUGCCAGGGCUGCAGGAGCCUGUAAAGAGUGAGUAGCUAUUCCAUGGCGGAAACUGAAGGCACAGUGAGGCAACGAGGCAAUGAUGAUGUAGACCGUCCUCGGCUUCGCAGUGAGGACAUUGCAGCUUCAUCAUCAAGCAACAGUUGCCAAUCCGAUCCUAGUCACAGGUUAUCCUUCAGAAGACCUGAUGGAAAUUCUGUAGAGACAGGUCCUUCAGACCUCAAGUCAUUAGAGAGGGUUCUAAGGAAGGAGUCAAUAGUGGAUGUCAUUGAGGUGGCUCCACUGACUGUUCCGUCUACACCAGUGAGAGAUAACAUUGAUAUUGCGAGCCAUGAUGUCAAGGGCAACCUUGAGUUAGCAUCUGAAAGACUCAGUAAGCUUUCUCCCACAGAUUGAAAUCGAUUCAAUGUGCAUUCAAUUCUCCUGAUUAAAAAAGUGUGAGUAUAACUGGAUGCGUUCAUCAACCAGUAAUGCUGCACCUGAAUUUCCUCA